rnacentral:rRNA from 1 species
GUCGAGGGGUAGAGCUAGCUUGCUAGCUUGAGACCGGCGCACGGGUGCGUAACGCGUAUGCAACCUACCCUUGUCAGGGGGAUAGCCCGGAGAAAUCCGGAUUAAUACCGCAUAAGACCACACGAUGGCAUCAUCGAGGGGUCAAACAUUUAUGGGACAGGGAUGGGCAUGCGUGCCAUUAGCUAGUUGGCGGGGUAACGGCCCACCAAGGCGACGAUGGCUAGGGGAUCUGAGAGGAUGACCCCCCACACUGGUACUGAGACACGGACCAGACUCCUACGGGAGGCAGCAGUAAGGAAUAUUGGUCAAUGGGCGCAAGCCUGAACCAGCCAUGCCGCGUGCAGGAAGACGGCCCUCUGGGUUGUAAACUGCUUUUAUUCGGGAAUAAACCUGCUUACGUGUAAGUAGCUGAAUGUACCGAAGGAAUAAGGAUCGGCUAACUCCGUGCCAGCAGCCGCGGUAAUACGGAGGAUCCAAGCGUUAUCCGGAUUUAUUGGGUUUAAAGGGUGCGUAGGCGGCCUAUUAAGUCAGGGGUGAAAGACGGUAGCUCAACUAUCGCAGUGCCCUUGAUACUGAUGGGCUUGAAUGGACUAGAGGUAGGCGGAAUGUGACAAGUAGCGGUGAAAUGCAUAGAUAUGUCACAGAACACCGAUUGCGAAGGCAGCUUACUAUGGUCUUAUUGACGCUGAGGCACGAAAGCGUGGGGAUCAAACAGGAUUAGAUACCCUGGUAGUCCACGCCCUAAACGAUGAAUACUCGCUGUUGGCGAUACACAGUCAGCGGCUAAGCGAAAGCGUUAAGUAUUCCACCUGGGGAGUACGCCCGCAAGGGU